UGACAGUCUAGUAUUGUACGCGUGACAGUCUAGUAUUGUACAUGUGACAGUGUAGUAUUGUACGUGACACGCAGUAGUGAAUUACUUAUUUUCUUUGUUGUUUUGUGGAGUUCACUUCGCCUAGUAACUUAAGAGCACUAGUUUCAAAAAGUAACAGAAAAACUUGUAUUGAUUCGUGGACAGACAUUAUUAGAUUGCCAAGAGAUCUGUGCCUCACCUCAAGCAGAAGUAUUGCAGGCUGGUCACGUGACAAGAACUAUCGUAUAACAUGUCAGCCCUAGCUCGACAAAAUAUAUGCUAACAAGACUCAAGAUAUCAAAAGCUUAUCAAAUAUUUGUCGAUAUUGUUUCGUGAUCUCCAAUGAAGGAAUACCGAAUGAAAUAGCAAUAGAGUUGAAAAGUCUGCACCUCAACAUGUUUUAGGAAUGUAAAUGUGUGGAUGGGAAAUAAAACUCAUAAAACAUU
rnacentral:sRNA from 13 species